AAACUUUCAACAACGGAUCUCUUGGCUCUGGCAUCGAUGAAGAACGCAGCGAAAUGCGAUAAGUAAUGUGAAUUGCAGAAUUCAGUGAAUCAUCGAAUCUUUGAACGCACAUUGCGCCCCUUGGUAUUCCAUGGGGCAUGCCUGUUCGAGCGUC
rnacentral:rRNA from 1 species